CUUCGCUGGGCAAAGCAGAGCUCUGGCAAAUUGAGCUUCACCCAAUCUUGUCCUGCAGAGAAGCCAAGUCUCCACUGAAUACAAAGAGACACACCCUUCUGCCUGGACGGUAUCAGUAGGUUGCUGGGAGGACCAGCUCACUGACAGAUUAAAGUUACCAAGUUGAAGUGAUGAGCUUGAAUCCUUCUGCAGUCACACGUUUGGCCUAGCAGAGGUUGAAAUUUUUAAAAAAUGAAAUAGAACCACAAAGAAAAUAUCAGAACACAUUGCACUUAGUAAAGAGAAGAAAAGCAACUCGGAGAUAAGAAACUCCACACCCUUUUGAGGAGAGAACUUGACAUCUGAAUUUUCAUGUUUGUGUUCUUUGAACAAACAUCAUUAAAGCAUACCAAAUCUACACCCAGUAAAAGUUUUGGAUGAAGACAGACAAAAAUGUGAAUGGACUACAAUGGAAGAUGCACAGACAUAUAUUAACCAGCACAUCAGGAAAUAGAGUUCAACCAAGUUGGAAGGUCGGCCUUGGAAGACACUGAGUUCCUGACCCUGGAGGACAGGCUGUGUUCAUUCAGGACCUGGAGGUUUUCAAACUCUCUCAAUGCCCUGCUGCUGCAUUUGAACUGUAUACAAGUCCACUUCCUGUGUCUUUGAAGAGGAAAUUUCUCAUCUGCUAUCAAGGGUGUUGCUAAUAAUUUAAAGAUCGGGUUUUUUUUCUGCAUUUUAGUCUGGCACAUCUGGGACUCAAGUUUCAAGUGCUGAGUCUUGUAAGGACUGUUCUGCAGCCAAAAACCAGGAAAGGGGAAACAGAAGCAAAAAACCAAUCACAAGUGAAAAAACUCAGCCAGCCUAAUUAAAUAUUUGGAAUCAAAAAUUGUUGGCCACCUGGAAGGGGAAACACCCUUUUCAUCCUGUCAUUCAUUUCUUAGCUAAAUAAUGGGUUCAAUAUACAUAAUUCCAAAACCAAAAUUAGAAUUUUUGGAAGACGCCCCCAAUAUUUAGGCAUUUUAUCUCCUGACCAGUUUGUCUUGGAAGGUAUUCCAGGCCAGGAAAUUCUAAUGUAUUUCUCUAUGUUAAAAGACAUAUAGGAGAUUUUUAUUUAUUGGUCAAGGUGGAUACGUGGGAACACCUGCUUUAAAAUGCUCAAGACUGGGAUUAUGACUCUGAUCAAGUAAAACUCUAGAGCCUCAAGAUCUGUUGAAAUGGAGAAGAUAAAAACUGCUGGGUCCCUGCUUGCCCUUCCCCACCCAAAAUUUCUUGGCCCUGACCCUGAUCCUCCUCCCUCAGACCACCUGUAGAUGAAGGUGGAGUAGCCUUCCACUGAGACAUCAUGAGGCUCUCUGGCUGUCAUAAGGAGGGCAUCAACCGACUGUGGAAAUAUAGUUUUGUAUUUCAUCAGCAUCAUAGAAUAUCAUCUCAAACUCACUGAGGGCCAACAGUGUUUAUAGACUCAGUUAUGAAGAAUUCUGUUUUAAGGAGAAUUACCUGAAAGAGAUGUAAUCCUGAUACUUUAAAAUUUAUCUUUGGGUUUGUAGACCCUCAGCGAGCAGCCUACAUGGGCCACUCAGUUCUGGCUCCCCACUGACUUACUGAGCCCAGCUUUGGCAUUCUGCUAUUUGCACACUUGGGUGGGGGGUGGGGGGAGUAGAAAGCUGUGCCAAGAAAUGUGAUGUUGUACUUACUCUAAUUGUUAUAAAGUUUUGGUGCCGCAAAAGAAAUAGCACGCGAAUAUAAAAUUUUAUUUUUAAUUCUCAGCAAGGCAAGUUACUUC
rnacentral:lncRNA from 1 species